AUCUCUUCUAUGUCUCUUGGAACUCAACCACAACAACAACAAUGGCGAGCACCAAACUUCAGAGGAUUAUGACUUAAAGCUCGCAUUCAAAUUUCGCUUUUUGAGCAGAAGGAUUUGAGGAUUGAAGGCCGAAUCAUUGGUUUUGAUGAGUACAUGAACUUGGUUCUGGAUGAUGCUAAAGAAGUCCACAUCAAGAAAAAGACCAGAACGUCAUUAGAGGGAAGUGAUGAUUCAUCCUUGCGAUUAUUUAUAUUGGCAUUACGGGCCUUCUAAUUAGCGUGUUGAUUGAGCCAUUUAGACUAUGCUACUAUCUUUAUAUACUGGAUGGAUUUCAUGUAUGAUGAACUGCUUUAAUAGAGGCAUAAGACAUUAGAUGGUAUCGUCGUUAUGAGUAUUUUUAUCAUUAUUGAGAUGACAAAAUUUUUUUUGUCACUCUUAUAUUAUU